AUUGGGGCUUAUGUGAAGAACAAGAAGAAUCAGAAUCAGAUUUGCUGGACAUGGCAAAAAGUUAGCUUGGAGAAUGACAAGGACUUCCAACGUUUCUUGGAUAAUGUUCAAUACAAGUCUAGUGGGAUCUUGCGCUAUGAGCGUGUCUUUGGGGAAGGAUAUGUGAGCACUGGUGGAGCUG